rnacentral:rRNA from 1 species
GCUAUGUGUGGACGGGAUAAGUGCUGAAAGCAUCUAAGCAUGAAGCCCCCCUCAAGAUGAGAUUUCCCAACUUCGGUUAUAAGAUCCCUCAAAGAUGAUGAGGUUAAUAGGUUCGAGGUGGAAGCAUGGUGACAUGUGUAGCUGACGAAUACUAAUCGAUCGAAGACUUAAUCAAAA